ACGGAGUUAGCCGGUGCUUAUUCACAUGAUACCGUCAUUAUCUUCUCAUAUAAAAGGAGUUUACGCACCGAAAUGUGUCAUCCUCCACGCGGCGUUGCUGCAUCAGACUUUCGUCCAUUGUGCAAUAUUCCCC
rnacentral:rRNA from 1 species